UAAGGAAUAUUGGUCAAUGGACGCAAGUCUGAACCAGCCAUGCCGCGUGAAGGAUGAAGGUCCUCUGGAUUGUAAACUUCUUUUAUCUGGGACGAAAACGGGAUUUUUAUCUCAAUUGACGGUACCAGAGGAAUAAGCACCGGCUAACUCCGUGCCAGCAGCCGCGGUAAUACGGAGGGUGCGAGCGUUAUCCGGAUUUACUGGGUUUAAAGGGUGCGUAGGUGGGCUUAUAAGUCAGUGGUGAAAUCUCCGAGCUUAACUUGGAAACUGCCGUUGAUACUAUAGGUCUUGAAUUAUCUGGAGGUAAGCGGAAUAUGUCAUGUAGCGGCGAAAUGCUUAGAUAUGACAUAGAACACCAAUUGCGAAGGCAGCUUACUACAUAUAAAUUGACGCUGAGGCACGAAAGCGUGG
rnacentral:rRNA from 1 species